rnacentral:rRNA from 1 species
UACGUAGAGGGCAAGCGUUGUCCGGAUUUAUUGGGCGUAAAGAGCGUGUAGGCGGCCAUACAGGUCAGCUGUGAAAACUCGAGGCUCAACCUCGAGACGUCGGUUGAAACCGUAUGGCUAGAGUCCGGAAGAGGAGAGUGGAAUUCCCGGUGUAGCGGUGAAAUGCGCAGAUAUCGGGAAGAACACCCGUGGCGAAGGCGGCUCUCUGGAACGGUACUGACGCUGAGACGCGAAAGCGUGGGGAGCGAACAGG